rnacentral:rRNA from 1 species
AACGAACGCUGGCGGCAGGCCUAACACAUGCAAGUCGAGCGGACCUUUCGGGGUCAGCGGCGGACGGGUGAGUAACGCGUGGGAAUAUGCCCUUCUCUACGGAAUAGUCCUGGGAAACUGGGGGUAAUACCUUAUACGCCCUUUGGGGGCAAGAUUUAUCGGGGAAGGAUUAGCCCGCGUUGGAUUAGGUAGUUGGUGGGGUAUUGGCCUACCAAGCCGACGAUCCAUAGCUGGUUUGAGAGGAUGAUCAGCCACACUGGGACUGAGACACGGCCCAGACUCCUACGGGAGGCAGCAGUGGGGAAUCUUAGACAAUGGGGGCAACCCUGAUCUAGCCAUGCCGCGUGAGUGAUGAAGGCCUUAGGGUUGUAAAGCUCUUUCAGCUGGGAAGAUAAUGACGGUACCAGCAGAAGAAGCCCCGGCUAACUCCGUG